rnacentral:lncRNA from 1 species
UGCUUAAUAUACCCUGUUCAUCAAAUGAAAUGAUGGAUAUAAGAAACUCACGAACAUCAAAUGCUACCACAUUAUUCUGUUUUUUGUUUUCCUUUUUGCCCUCAUUCCGAGCAUAUUUCAAAUUGGUGUUGGUUCCUGGCGAACAUUACCAACGACAGUGAUGAGGUCGGAUCGGCGAAGUGGGCUGGAAAGGUCGGGCGGUGGGGUUGGACUCCGGAGAAGCGAAAUGAAGAAGAGACGGUGGAGGCGAUGACGACGUCUUCGCCGCCGCUUCGAUGAGAAGGGAACCGAGAAGGACGGCUCGAGGAUUUGGUGGAAGAAAGAAAGAUGAGUGCGAACCUCAAUUGUGGGCACCUCCAAGUGUGUACUUGUAUAAUUUAAAUUAUUUAAAUAUUUUUUUCCAAUUUUUAAAUUAAUUUUCGAACUAUAUAUAUAUAUAUAUAUAUAUAUCAAGUUAGUCAUAAUGUCCUACGACCAAUUUCAUAACAAUCAAAUCACUAAGAAAAAAUAGAAAUCAAAUAUUAACUGAUAUAUUUGGUGCAAUAUCUCAAUGUAAGGACUUGUAUACACUUUAAUUUUUCGGUGGCUCGAGUAGCUAUAUUUUAAAGGUCCCUGACAAACUUGAAGAGGAACUCAAAAGCCUCCAUUCUUUGGAUUUGAGCAACUCUGGCCGAAAGGAGUUACCCAAAUCAAUUGGUGAGUUGAAGCACCUUCGCUGCCUUCGGCUGCACAAUACAAAUAUGUCAACUCUUCCUGAAUCACUUGGUCGUCUUUACAAUUGUUCUCUUGAGGAGCAGCCAUCAGAAACCAAAAAUCUCCAUAAUCUUCACCAUCUUGAUGAUAAUUCAGUGGAAGCAAUGCUUAAAUUGAAAUCUAUGCCACCAGGAAUAGGACUAUUAGCCAAUCUUCAAACAUUACCAAGAUUUGUAGUAAACACAGAGAGUUGUUGUGGGUUAAGUGAGCUGAAAGACUUGAACAGUCUCCAUGGGGAACUUAUCCUUGUUCAAAAUCCAUUUGAAGCAAGGAAGGCAAAUUUGGAAAACAAGAAUUCCAUUCGGAGUUUGCAGUUGCCAUGGGAUAUCGGUAUAUCAGCUUCCGAAUGUGUUGGAUAUGUCCAAAGCUUUCUGGCAAUCCUCCAACCUCAUACAAGCCUCAAGGAGCUGAGGAUAAUAGGCUACAGAACCCCAUCAUUUCCAUCUUGAUUUUUCCAUCUUGAUUAGGUGACUCUGCUUUCACCAAUCUUGAAUAACUACAUUGCUCCAGCUGCAAUCAAUGUGAAAGUCUUCCUUCACUUGGCAAAUUGCCUAUACUGCGAGAACUCCAUAUAAAAGGAAUGGAAAGAGUGAAACUUGUGAAUUAUAAAUUCUACUCCAAGGGAAAGAACACAUUCCUUAAAUUGGAGAAGCUGGUUUUUGAGAACUGCAGCCAGCUCAAGGACCUUCCAGAACUUAAGAACCUGCCCUCACUAGUGCAUAUGGAGAUUUCAGACUGCCCUAUAGUCUGUCUCCCAAAGAAAGGUCUGCCAACCACGCUUCAGUUCUUGAGCAUCAACAAUUGCCCCAAGCUCAGGCAACGGCGCCGAGAUGAGAGAGGUGAAGAUUGGCCCAAACUUGUA